GGAUUGUGGCUCAGUGGUAGAGCACUUGCCUAGUGUAUGCGAGGCCCUGGGUUUGAUCCUCAGCACCA
rnacentral:tRNA from 1 species